GUAUCCAGUAGUUUGGAAGUUAAUUGACAGUCCAAAAACCGUUGAAAUAUCUGUAUCGUCCAAGAAAGGAUUGUUGCUUCUCACCCACAUACCGAGAGUCGAAAGGGUUCAACCCCUUAAGCAACGGUAGCCUCUAUUUCAUCUAGACCCCUCCCUAUCCAGCAUAUAUCUCAAAAGUUAGUUGAAAUGUCAAGAUCUAUAUCUACAGAUACUGCUUGCUUGGGGAGAACUUUUAAAGAAGUCUCUAAGAAAAUCACCUUUUCUUGAAAUCACUGAGGUACCAGAGUGAUCAGGGUGUUUGACUGUGACGCCAAGGGUCGUGGGUUCGAAUCCCGCUUGGGGCUUUCCUCUCUGUGUUAGCUCUCUGAUGUGCGACGUGUGAAUGUGGACCUCCCUAUGGACCUGCAUCUGUGGCAGUAUGGUUCUGAUAAGUUGAUCGCCUCCAUGACUCAGAUUCACAUGUGUCCACCUGAUUAUGCGCUGUUUACUUUUUGACCUGAGAUAUAACAGGUGUUUACACGUAUUUUUCUUAGUUUGACUCAUUUAAAGGUAUG